AAAGAUAUGGUGAAAUUGGUAGACGCUAUGGACUUGAUUGGAUUGAGCCUUGGUAUGGAAACCUGCUAAGUGAGAACUUACAAAUUCAUAGAAACCAUGGAACUAAAAAUGGGCAAUCCUGAGUCAAAUCUUUAAAAACGAUGGAAAAUGAGAAGAAAAAGGGAUAUGUGCAGAGACUCGAUGGAAGCUGUUCUAACGACGAAUGAAAUUGAAUAUGUUACGUUAGUGGCUAAAAUCCUUCUAUCAAAAUGACAGAAAGGAUAACCUUAUCUAUCUAAUGCGUACGUAUACAUACUGGCAUAGCAAACAAUUAAUCACAACCAAAAUCUUAGAUUGAAUCCUGUUCUGUAUCUCUAUAUAUGUAUAUGAAUAUGAAUAUGAGAAUAGAAAUCUUCUAUUUCUUUCUAUCUAUUUCUUUCUAUUAGAUAUUAGUGAUAUAUUAGUAUAUCUCUAUUUCAUUUCUUUCUAUUCUUAUUAUAUUUAGAUUCUAUUAAGAAUUAGAUUAAGAAAAGAAUCUAUAUAUUUAUGAAUUAUAUUAUUCUAAUUAUUAUAGAAUUUCAAAUUAUAUAAAUUAUAGAAUAUAUAAAUUAGAGAAUAAGAUUUAUCUAUUAUUUAUUUCUUUCUUAUUUAUAUUACUAUAUAUUACUAGUAAUAUAAGUAAUUAAUAGUAAUAUAAGUAAUUAAUAUAAAAUAUAAGUAAUUAAUAUAAAAUAUAAGUAAUAGUAUUAGAAGUAUUAGAUAAGGAUCUAUAGAAACCCUCUAUUUCUAUUCUCUAUUAAUUAGAAUGAUAGAGAUCAAAAAGUAUAUGAAAAAUUGAAGAGUUAUUGUGAAUUAAUUCCUAUUGAAGUUGACAAAAGAAUCAAAUUCAAAUAUUCAGUGAUCAAAUGAUUCAUUCCAGAGUUUGAUAGAUUUUUUGAAGAUUAAUUGGACGAGAAUAAAGAGAGAGUCCCAUUUUACAUGUCAAUACCGACAAUAAUGAAAUUUAUAGUAAGAGAAAAACCCGUCGAAUUUUGAAAUUGUGAGGGUUCGAGUCCCUCUAUCCCAA
rnacentral:tRNA from 1 species